GACGUAGGGCGCGAGCGUUGUCCGGAUUUAUUGGGCGUAAAGAGCUCGUAGGCGGCUUGUCGCGUCGACUGUGAAAACCCACGGCUCAACUGUGGGCUUGCAGCCGAUACGGGCAGGCUAGAGUUCGGUAGGGGAGACUGGAAUUCCUGGUGUAGCGGUGAAAUGCGCAGAUAUCAGGAGGAACACCGGUGGCGAAGGCGGGUCUCUGGGCAUUAACUGACGCUGAGGAGCGAAAGCAUGGGGAGCGAACAGG
rnacentral:rRNA from 1 species